GGGGGGGGGAAGAACUAAAAGAUGAUAACUUUGGUUUUUCUUUAUUUUGUUUGAAGUUAGUUUUAUAAAUUAGAAAAUCAAUCUUUUCUUUUAACAUCAAAUUUACUUAAUGAUGUGUCCAUAUUUGUCCACUAAUAAUAAUAAUGGUCUAAUAACCAUUUAAGUCCACUUAUAUGAAAAUUUCAUAGCAAUUUGAUACCUUUAGC
rnacentral:lncRNA from 1 species